GCAGCAGCAGCAGCAGCAGCAGCAGCAGCAGCAGGGAGCUGCCAGCCCGCUGCCUAAGGAGGAUUUAUCUGCUUUGUUUUCCAGAGCCAGAGUGACAAAGUGCUGUGGACCCACAUCCGAUACUCAGGCAGGAGCACCAGGGGAGCAGCUGUGAACCUCUCUGCGGAGCUGGGGCCCAUCCGCAUCCACAACGGCUCCGUCCUGGUCCCCUGCGAUGGCCUCUACCUCGUGUCCCUCUGGAGCUCCAUCUACCUGGAGGAGGAGGAGGGGGACUGGCUGAGGCUGACCCUGCAGGGCAGCAGCAGAGUGCUGUGGGAGCAGACUGUGCCCAGCAAUGAGAGCAUAGUGAACCUCACCACAGUGCUCUACCUGUUUGAGCAGGACAGCAUCACGCUGUGGACCAGCUCCAACGCCAUCCUCGGGGACCUGUCCCUCAGCCUGGUGCUGGUAGCUGACAGCAAGUCCUAGCUGCAGGAGCUGGUGCAGCAUGGAAAGCACAGCCUUCCCCACCGAGCUGCAGGUUUUGGACUUGUAUGGGCUGCCUGCCCUAGAGCCCUCCCUGGGGCCGUGGAGGGCCUCACUGGGAGCGCAGAUGAACCACGGGCUUUUUAUAGUGCAAGACUUGCCUCUUUGGAGCUCUGUGCAGCUGAUUUGGCACCCAGGAUGGAUCCUUCCAACACUGGGGAAAGGGAUGCGUGGAGCUCUUGAGAAGAACAGAAAUGAAAGCCAAAGAAAGUCACCCAAGCUUAACUCACAUUCAGAGAAACCCUGAAUUUCUCUAUUUACUUGGCAGUAUCUGUAUAUAGUAGAAAUGUGUUGUGUUUUUUCUCAAAUAAAAGUCUGGUGACUCAGGAAGAUAACCUCAAGUGUCCUGAAGCCACUUGGAGCAGGAGGAGCAGGAAUCUGCCUGGCAAGAUGGAAAACAGGGAAGAGGCAGCAGGGAAUGCCUUUGGAGUGAGCCAGAUGAAGGCUGUCAGAGAGCAAGGGCCGUGAGAGAAGGUGGUGUGUGGAAAGGAGCUGGCAGGACUGCACUGGGCAGCAGGAGCACUGACUGUAGAGUCUGGGGAGCAGCUUUGAGAGCAGAGCUCCACUGGCUGUUCCAGCUGUCUGCAGACUCCUGAAGCCUGAGCCCAUCUCCUGGGACAUUCACCUCCUGACAUGUAAGGCCUCAAAGGAAAACCUCCUUCAAAGCACACACACACUGGCUUGACCCAAAAGUGAUCCAGGCACAUAAAAUUUGGGAAAACAGGAAGACUUCUGGAUGUGGUGACCUCUGUCUGACAGACCGAGUGGAAGCUGCAGGUCUGUGCAGCCUUUCCCCAGGGAGCACUCAGAUGGUUCUCAUGGCUUUGUCCCACAGGUGGGCACCAGGGAUUCCCAGCACAGCCUCCACGGGGCACCAGGCACGCCUCUCAGUGACCCUGGGCUGCUCCUCCCUGUUCAUCCCUGCUCAUCCAGCUGAGACAGGUCCUGCCCGUGCUGCAGGCAGUCCCUGACCCCAGCACAGCCAGCAGCUGGGGGUUUUGCUUGCAGCAAGGCAGAUUUUAAUCACCUGCCAGUUUUUGACUUCAUGUCUCCCAAGGAGCUCCGCCAGCCUUUCAGCGUGUGGCAGCUGACUGCACACCCCAAAGUCUUUUGUUACAAGUAUUUAUGUAUUUAAAUGAUGGGCAAAAGAAUGUUACAUCGGAUUUCUUAGGAGCACUGGGAAGGGCUCAGACCAGGUUGUGAGCCCUGAACUCCUCUUUGAAAAUGGUCCCAAUGCUCUGGGCUGGUCCUGCUUAGCAGACCCAGACCUGGACUGAAACACUCAUGGCUGAGCGCUCCAGCAGCCUCAGGUGCUACAGGCAGCUAAGGACAUCCUCCAGGCCUUGGAGAGCUUUCCUGGGCUUUAGGAUAAGGAGCUUCCCCACCUGGGCCAGGCCAGAGCCACAGGGAAAACUGGCUGAAGCAGUCAACUCAUGUAGUGCCAAGAAGCAGCUUUUCUCCCUUCACCUGGGAAGCUGUGGCUGACCAGCACCCACAGGAUGCUCGUCAUUAAGGGAUAUUUUGGGCUUUUGACUCUGGCCACGCUCACCACCACGGGGGCUGAAGGCAGCUGCACCCUGCCCCGAGGCUGGGGACUGUCACACUCCGCAGCAGAAGUGAGAACGUGUUUCUAAAAAAUAAUAAAUUUUUCCUUUGCAACAUU